rnacentral:rRNA from 1 species
UACGAAGGGGGCUGGCGUUGCUCGGAAUUACUGGGCGUAAAGCGCACGUAGGCGGUCUUUUAAGUCGGGGGUGAAAUCCUGGAGCUCAACUCCAGAACUGCCUUCGAUACUGGAAGACUUGAGUCCGGGAGAGGUGAGUGGAACUGCGAGUGUAGAGGUGAAAUUCGUAGAUAUUCGCAAGAACACCAGUGGCGAAGGCGGCUCACUGGCCCGGUACUGACGCUGAGGUGCGAAAGCGUGGGGAGCAAACAGG